CUCCUUCGCACCAGGUAACUAACAGCUGUAACUUUAAGGACCUCAGUCACUGGUCCUACUUUCAUCUAGUCCAAUUAUUUAUGUUUAGCUUCGACCUCAGGUGGAGACAAAGCUUUAUCUAUGUCUAUUUUUCUGUGCAUGUGCUGUCUUUUUGACUAAAUGUGUCCUUGACGGUAAUACUAAGUGUAGCAGCAGGCCUCGACCACGUGCCUCACUGCACGAGUUGAGAUGCUAAUUUGCAAACGAGCUAAUCUUCCUCUUCUCAAAUAAGUAACUUUGCCGUGUCAUUCCCAUGACUAUAUGAUGAGAUGAAUGUUGGUAGGGACAUCUUAUUUACUGUGAUGAAUACCAACUUUUCUGACUGCAUGGGACUAGGCCUCAAACAUUAGCUGCACCGCUAGUGUGCCGUUAGCUGCUCCAUGUGAAGGAUUUGAUGCCUUUACAGCUGCACUAAAGAAGUUGCUUUGUUUAAAACGGGCAGUAAUUAACUUAAAUUCAGUUCUUUUUUUUCUGACAGGCCUUUCGAUAGAAUCGUUGCAAAAUGAAGGUCUCUUUGAGUCGGUUGAAGAUGUCUACACGUUGUGAACGUCUUGGCAGACUAUGCUGGUAAGGUUAACACAUAAUGGCUUCUGAUUACAAGACUACAGUCUGUGAUGCUGUAAGAGUAGUGGACAGAUGUGAUUUCUGAUAAAUUUUACACUGAGACUUUGAGUUAGCUAUACUUUGUCUCCAUAUGACCACUAUGGUACUAACAAUGUGUUCAUCAACAGGUGUCUUGCAAGCUGAGAGCUAUUCAUGAAGUAACUCGGAGCAAAUGAGGUGUGCCUAGUUUGGUGGUUGGAGCUGACGAUUUCACCAAUGAUGGGUCAUUGUAGCAGGUAAUUUGUUUAUUUUACUCUGCAUUCUUUUCUUUAAACUGUCAAUGAUGGACAAUGUUAAAAACAUUGGGAAUCUCUCUGAAAAGAGUGAAAGACAACUUUUUACUGAUGCAGUGCAGAAUCAGAACUGCCUUUGUAUUAAAGUGGGAGCUUUUACUAAUGUCUGGUAACUUUCAGGUUGUCCUCCAUCUUUGGCUCAUCUCCAUUUACUUGGAUCAGUUGAUGGACCAAUGUGACUUGCAGUCAAAAGACCAAGUGAAGACGCGUAAAACAUUCCUGCUGGAAAAUUCCCAUCUCUAUGUUGGUGAAAGCCAGACUGAAAAUCGAGAGGACAAGAUGUUGCACAAGCAUGGUGAGUCUGAGGAAGCGACUUUAAAAGCACUUUUAGACCCAGAUGACCAGUGCAGUUGGUAG
ensembl:lncRNA